rnacentral:misc_RNA from 1 species
GAUGAAGAACGUAGCGAAAUGCGAUACUUGGUGUGAAUUGCAGAAUCCCGUGAACCAUCGAGUCUUUGAACGCAAGUUGCGCCCGAAGCCAUUAGGCCGAGGGCACGCCUGCCAGGGCGUCACACGUCGUUGCCCCCCCAUCUACUCCUUCGGGAUUGCGGGGGGCGGAUGAUGGCCUCUCGUGCGCCUCGUCGCGCGGUUGGCCUAAAUGCCAAGUCCUCGGCGACGCACGCCACGACAAUCGGUGGUUGCGAAACCUCGGUUGCCUGUCGUGUGCGGUCGUCGCGCAUCGAGGGCUCGAAAAAAUUGCCGGGCUUCGGCUCGACUUUCAACGCGACCCCAGGUCAGGCGGGGUUACCCGCUGAAUUUAAGCAUAUCAAUAAGCGGAGGA